CUACACGGGUAUCUAAUCCCGUUCGCUCCCCACGCUUUCGUCCAUCAGUGUCAAUAUAUUAUUAGUAGCCUGCCUUCGCAAUCGGUAUUCUAUGUGAUAUCUAUGCAUUUCACCGCUACACCACAUAUUCUAGCUACUUCAUAACAAUUCAAGAUUAACAGUAUCAAUGGCAGUUCUCCCGUUGAGCGGAAGACUUUCACCACUGACUUAUUAAUCCACCUACGGACCCUUUAAACCCAAUGAUUCCGGAUAACGCUUGCACCCUCCGUAUUACCGCGGCUGCUGGCAC
rnacentral:rRNA from 1 species